rnacentral:lncRNA from 10 species
GAUAAUAAAAUUGCAUAAACUUGCAUAGUUUUAAUGCACUAAAUUCAUGGUAAUGUGUUACAGUAGCAACAGAAAACCAGUAUAGAAGGUAAGAGGUAAUUUGUCAACUCAUUCUACAAAUCAGAGAGACUUUAAACCAGAGUGGAAGCUAAUUCCAAUGCAAGGGGUACCUAUGGGGUAUAAAAUCCAUACAGAGGAUUUGUAACCUCAAAUUUAAAUGGCAGGCUGGAGACAGAAGACAGAGCCUUAUGUGUCUGCUAGAAUGGGAUCUAGAACAGAGACCCCUGAACAAAGCUGAAAUUCUCACCCUCAGAGAAAAGGAAAUCCAGCAGGAGCUAGUUCAUCUGGAAGAAUCAAGUGAUUUAAGAAAACAAGCAGACUUACUGCAUGCAAUUCAGGAACUGGGGGCAUUUUUCAUUUUUGUUUUCUCUGUUAUUUAUUUUCUUCACCUCAGGUUUCUGAAAACCAGAAACAGAUGGACUAAUCCAAACUCCUCAGAACAGACGGCUUAUCAAACUCCCCGCCUUGAGGACCCGGGGCUCCCCUGCGGAGUGCAGGGUCCACGCAAUAAUUCACUCCAACUCCUCCACAUCAGGAAGAACACUCACAGAACUUUCAACAAUUAGCCUUUCCUUGGCCCCAUUAUCAACAACUGUGGGAAAGAUAUGUCCUUAUCUGACCCUGGAGGACGCAAGCCACCUAACUGCCAGACACCAGAUAUUGUUGCAGGGAGCAACCCUCACAAACAUAUGCAAAGAUGAACAGAGGAGGUGGAAAUGGGUGGUCUUGAUCAAUGCAUGCCUUGGCAUCCGGAGUUUGGUGAAAAAUGAGAAAUAAAGAUGCAUGUUGGAUGGAAGUACAGUGCAGAGUCGAAUAAAAUUGCCACCUCCUGCUUUACCUCAAUGACCCCAGUUGGUGCCUGUUCUUUCCCUCCUUUACCAUCAAAACACAACUACAUCAAAGCUGUUUUUACACAAAGGAAUAAUGCCUAAUAAAUAAAAUCCUAUUACUUCCCCUU